AUUGAACGCUGGCGGCAGGCCUAACACAUGCAAGUCGAGCGAGCGGCGGGCGGGUGAGUAAUGUGUGUGGGACUGCCCGUGAGAGGGGGGGAACUACUCGGAACGCUGGCUAAUACCGCAUACGCUCGGAUGUGCGCAUAUGGGAUUAGCUAGUGGGGGAGGGAACGGCUUACCUAGGCGACGAUCCCUAGCUGGUCUGAGAGGAUGAUCAGCCACACUGGAACUGAGACACGGUCCAGACUCCUACGGGAGGCAGCAGUGGGGAAUAUUGCACAAUGGGCGCAAGCCUGAUGCAGCCAUGCCGCGUGUAUGAAGAAGGCCUUCGGGUUGUAAAGCACUUUCAGUGGGGAGGCGUUACCGGCAGAAGAAGCACCGGCUAACUCCGUGCCAGCAGCCGCGGUAAUAC
rnacentral:rRNA from 1 species